GCCUUCGUUGUGUAGUGGUCAGCAUGCUCGACGUGUAACCGAGAGGUCCGUGGUUCGAUUCCCAGUGAAGGCG
rnacentral:tRNA from 1 species